UGACCGGGAAGAGAUGGUACCGGUGCGGUUGAGGACUGGAACCCUUUUCAAGCAAGAGAGUCCUGCGGCUGCGACGAGCCCACAUUGCCCUUUCAGCUUUUGAGAUGGCACGCACGCAGACAUGGCGGCAGCGGCGGCGGCAGCAGCAGCAGAAGCAAACAGGCAACUUGCUCUGUUCAUCCUCUCCCCUCUUUUUUUCUCCUAAUCUGUGUGCUGCUGAUGCGAACUAAGGCCUGGUUUGGAAAGCAGGAACAUCACAUGAGGCGGUUCAAUUCUCGCAAGAGAGGAGCAGGAAAAUUUCAACCGUUCCAAAUGGGGCUAGCACUGUGGAUCAACUCUUGGAUCUGUAGAUGGGAAAGUCAACUUCAUACGGAGGCCUUGAUCACAAUAGUAGUUGGCUACGUGGACCGUGCUGGUCUCUGGUGGCAUCAACAGUUGAGAGUUGAGGACGUUCCCAAAUCUAGGGUGUAGUGAUGAGUGCAGCAGCUGAGAUCUGAAAGGCACAGACUCAUAAUUGUGCUGUUAUCUGCUCAAAAGAAGCAGCACUUAAUGGGAUCCGUCCAGCAGAAUUAAUAGGAUUCUUUUA